rnacentral:rRNA from 1 species
AUUGAACGCUGGCGGCAUGCUUUACACAUGCAAGUCGAACGGCAGCACGGGUGCUUGCACCUGGUGGCGAGUGGCGAACGGGUGAGUAAUGCAUCGGAACGUGCCCAUGAGUGGGGGAUAGCCCGGCGAAAGCCGGAUUAAUACCGCAUACGCCCUUAGGGGGAAANCGGGGGAUCUUCGGACUUCGCGCUAUUGGAGCGGCCGAUGUCGGAUUAGCUAGUAGGUGAGGUAAAGGCUCACCUAGGCGACGAUCCGUAGCUGGUCUGAGAGGAUGAUCAGCCACACUGGGACUGAGACACGGCCCAGACUCCUACGGGAGGCAGCAGUGGGGAAUUUUGGACAAUGGGCGCAAGCCUGAUCCAGCCAUGCCGCGUGAGUGAAGAAGGCCUUCGGGUUGUAAAGCUCUUUCAGGUGGAAAGAAAUAGCGCUGUUUAAUAGAUGGCGUUGAUGACGGUACCACCAGAAGAAGCACCGGCUAACUACGUG